rnacentral:lncRNA from 1 species
AUGGCAGUUCCUCAAAAUGUUAAACGUGGAAUUACCACACAACCCAACAAUCCUAUUGGUAGGUGUACAUCCAAAAGGACUGAAAAAGGGACUCAAACAGACACUUGUACAUAAAUGUUCAUAGCAGCAUUAUUCACAAGAGCCAAAAGAUGGAGGCAACCCAACUGUCACUGACAGAUGAAUGGAUAAACAAAAUGUACUAUAAACAUAUGAUGGAAUAUCACUCGGCUAUAAAAUGAAUGAAGUAUCAAUACGUGCUACAACAUGGAUGAACUUCAAUAAAGGAAGCCAUACACAAUCAGUCACAUAUUAUAUGAUUCUAUUUGUGUAAAAUACUGAGAAUAGGUAAAACCAUACAAACAGAAAGCAGAUUAGGAGUUGACAGGGACUGGGAGAAAGAUGGAGAAACACUGCUCAAUGGUUACAGGGUUUCAUUUUAGGGUGAUGAAAAUGUUCUGGAACUUGAUAGAGGUGGACAUUGUACAACAUUGUGAAUGUACUAAAUGCCAUUAAAUUGUGACUUUAAAAUAAUUUUUAUAUGUCAAUUUUCACCUCAGUGAAAAUAAAUAAGAAAACCUUCUGGUGCCCCUUGUAAGGAAAAUUAUUAAAACUAUUCUGGGUUCUUUCCGAAGAAGACACACAUAAUAAAAAAGAUUAAAUACAAUUAGUAAAUAAUUAUAGCUGUGUAAAUAAAAGGGUAAAAAAACUACCCCCUACUUCACUUAGGAAAAUACAAGAAAAAAUACCUUGAGGAAUAAACAACCAGGAAUCAUAUAAAUACUGCUAUGUUUAUUUUUCUGUAGAAUUACUCUCAUAGAACUUCUGGUUGGGUAUACGAAUUUUUCUUGGCUCCAAAACUUCACUAUAGUAAUAGUAAAGGAGUAAAGAACAAGAGAGGAGAUAGUUAUCAACUGACAGAUAUCGAUGAACUUUUAGAAACUAGAAAGCAGAUAAAUGGCCUCAAAUGUCCCCUGUCAAUGAAUCCUAUCUUUAUUAACCUAUUUGAAAUUUCAACCCCAACUCUGUCUACCACUUCCAAUUCCACUAUCAUACUAUAUUUUUGGCCACAGGAGAUUAUCACCUACAACAUGUAAUGCAACUUACUAGGUUUAUUG